GCUGCCUCUUCCCCAGGGUGAAGAACGCUUAGAACUAACCGUUGAUAAGCCAGCAGUUUUGUUUACAGGUUUCUCAGCUGAAGCUGUGUAUCUAGGAGCAGUGAGAGGGGUACUGGGAUUGACUGAUGGCAUAGCCUCUCUCCCUGAUUGAUAACAGUUCUCAGUAGGUGAUACGCUGGCGAUUUCUAUAUCUUUAAAAGGCUCUUCAAUUUGUCUUUUCACUCUAGUGGGAAACUCGCCAGUACUCUCGAUUGAACAAUGGAUGUCUUUAGGAGACUCAGCAUCUGAAUCUUCAACCCCAUAUUCCUGAGAGAAAAGCACAUUCAAGGAAAGAAUAUUUAGUAGCUAAUUGUUGAAGGAAUGAAUACAAAUGGAAACGACUGCAGUGGGAUAAGAUGGAAAGAACAAACCUUGUAGUCAUACAGAUCACUGCCAGCAUAACCACUGCUUUCACUACGUUUUCUGCUCAGCAUUACAUCAUCAUCAUCAUCAUCUGUUUGGCCAUCUUCUAUAUCCACAUUGUGCAAGUCAGGACGUUUAACCUCUAUGUCCUCUUCAUCACUCGAGUUCUCAGGCCCACUCUCGCCAAUAUGAGAAUCAGUAGAAGUGGAGCAUCUUUGGAGACCUUCAUCCUGCAAACAAAUAGUUGAGCAUAUAGUAUUGUUUUGUGUGGCACUGGCACCAGAUAUAAAUCAAAUGACAGGAUGGCAUGAUCUUACAUUGAUCAUAUUCCCAUAGUCUUCCAAAAGGGAUGUGACAAUAGCUUGAGCAUUAUUGGCAGCAUUAGCGGCAGCAAGAAGCUGGGCAGAGUUAUCUUCUAGAGCGUCAAAGCCUUCGAGAUCACAUUCUCCAGCCAGUAGAGGACGCAGUAGCAAUGGAGACAUACAAGCAGCUACAGCAGAUGAAGUCAUCCGGUUCUCACGGGAAUGAGAGGUGAUAGUAUGCAUCAUCUUCAGAAUCCUACAGGAUAAAACCCAUGCUGAGAAUAAAGCUGUUUGAAGCAACCAAAAUAAUAAACCCCCAAACAGGUUUCCAUUAGAGCACCGCCUAUCAGCUUCUGCGAGAGCAAUCUCCUCAAGCUCAGCCCUUGUCUUCGCAUUUAUUAGUGAUGUUAGAACCAAGGAGAGCAAGAUAUAUAACCGUAAACACAAGGAACAAAAGUGUAUACUCACUUUAGAAUCCGCAGCUUGUGAGCUAAAGUGUCCACAAGAACUGCUAAGACCAACUUCAAGAGCGGAUCUGAGGUCUCUCUCAGCUUGUAGUUGCUCUUGUAAUCUGCCAACCUGAUUAUUUCAUGACAAGCAAAAUGGAAAUUAUGAAUAAAAACUGGAGAAUAGAAAUACAAAAUCUCAAGAGAAGGUGCCAUACAUCUUGUUCAAGUGCCAACCGACGUUCAUGCAAAGCCUGCUUCCUUCUCUCCAAGCUAGCUUGUAAUACUGCAUUUCCCUUAGCCUGCAGUAUCCAUUCAAUCAAUACAAUAACAUUUAAGUUAUCAGCAUAUAGUACUUCUACUGCCACUACAAUUACCUCCUUAGCGAUUCGUUGCCUCAGCUCAUCUUUCAUAAGCUCCAGCCUCUGAAUUAGAAGCCUACAAAAGUAGUGAAGCAGCAUUCACAUAAGCAUAAGCAACCCUCAUGAAAACUAGGAGUGUUAAUGAACCACAAUAUACGCAUUCAGUACUGAAUAUCUUACUCGUCAUUUCCUGAACCAUCAAAUGAUCCUUUAGCAGGAGUUUUUUGACCCUGCAUAUAGUAAACAAAGAAAAGAAUUGGAAAGCUGUGACAACAGAAUCAUCACUUUUCAUGCCAGCAAUGGGAAACUUACGCUGCCUCUUCCCCAGGGUGAAGAACGCUUAGAACUAACCGUUGAUAAGCCAGCAGUUUUGUUUACAGGUUUCUCAGCUGAAGCUGUGUAUCUAGGAGCAGUGAGAGGGGUACUGGGAUUGACUGAUGGCAUAGCCUCUCUCCCUGAUUGAUAACAGUUCUCAGUAGGUGAUACGCUGGCGAUUUCUAUAUCUUUAAAAGGCUCUUCAAUUUGUCUUUUCACUCUAGUGGGAAACUCGCCAGUACUCUCGAUUGAACAAUGGAUGUCUUUAGGAGACUCAGCAUCUGAAUC
rnacentral:lncRNA from 1 species